GAUGAACGCUGGCGGCGUGCUUAACACAUGCAAGUCGAACGGAAAGGCCCAAGCUUGCUUGGGUACUCGAGUGGCGAACGGGUGAGUAACACGUGGGUGAUCUGCCCUGCACUUCGGGAUAAGCCUGGGAAACUGGGUCUAAUACCGGAUAGGACGAUGGUUUGGAUGCCAUUGUGGAAAGUUUUUUCGGUGUGGGAUGAGCUCGCGGCCUAUCAGCUUGUUGGUGGGGUAAUGGCCUACCAAGGCGUCGACGGGUAGCCGGCCUGAGAGGGUGUACGGCCACAUUGGGACUGAGAUACGGCCCAGACUCCUACGGGAGGCAGCAGUGGGGAAUAUUGCACAAUGGGCGCAAGCCUGAUGCAGCGACGCCGCGUGGGGGAUGACGGCCUUCGGGUUGUAAACGCCUUUCGCUAGGGACGAAGCGUUUUGUGACGGUACCUGGAGAAGAAGCACCGGCUAACUACGUG
rnacentral:rRNA from 1 species